rnacentral:lncRNA from 1 species
UCAUCUUCUCUAGGUAUACUCUACAGGCACAUACUUCUUGGUGUCCAAUCUCAGUAUGCCAUCUAUCUGAAUUUUCUAUUGUUUGCAUAGUGCCCAGUUUCAAAAAAUGGAAACUUGUACAUAGCCUUUAAGGGCGUCUACAUUUCAGAAUCCCUGUUUUUAGGUGUUUGUAUACAUUAGUUUUUAUGUAGAGCAUACGAGAUUAUUCUGCCAUGUCACAACAUUUAGUAAAAAAUUGACCUAAUAAUUCACACUUUACUAUCUUUAUAAUUAUACAUCAAGUACUGUGUCGUUUGCAGAUUUUAGUCUUAAGAUUAUAUACUAUGCAAACAAAGUUAUUCACUUUAUGUAUUAUCAUGUGCAUAGGACUAAGAGCACUGGCAGCAACGCGUGGGGAAUCAUCUAGUUUUCUCAAUUGCUCAUCUCCAGUAAUUUUUAAAAACGAAUCUUACUACUUUUUGCAUCACACAUCACGCCUUAGUUUCAACAUGUUUCUAUUCAGCAAGACAUGGAUCGUCAUGCGGUAGUUUCUAACAUGUUUUGCAGAAACAUAUGAAUACAACGCCUGGUGAAUAGACUAGGGUACACUUCCCAUCAAUAAAUCCCUCCUUAUGGCAGGCCUCAACACAUGGAUCAUCUUUGCACUUAAAAGUGCUAUAGCUCUGGCUGGCCUCCUUGCAAGUCUUGGCAUCAAAGCCUACGAAAAAAAUAACACAAUAUGACCUAUGAAAAAUAAUAAUCCUAUAGUGUUCUACAAAGAUACAAGAUAAUAUAUGAGGCACGGAGUAUGAAUUUCACAUAUGACUAGCAAAUGUAUAGAUGAUGCAUUGAGGAAGUUCCUUGUUCUUUAAAACUUACCAGGAGCCAAGAGGAGUAGCAUGAGAAAUACCAAGCAUAGCAGGUUGGAACCUUGAGGACUCCCAUGUCUCAACGAUUAUCAAGACACGAAGAAAUGUAAG